rnacentral:rRNA from 1 species
CCUACGGGAGGCAGCAGUGAGGAAUAUUGGUCAACGGGUGCGAGCCUGAACCAGCCAAGUAGCGUGCAGGAUGACGGCCCUAUGGGUUGUAAACUGCUUUUAUACAGGGAUAAAGUCGGGGACGUGUUCCCCGUUUGCAGGUACUGUAUGAAUAAGGACCGGCUAAUUCCGUGCCAGCAGCCGCGGUAAU